rnacentral:rRNA from 1 species
AACGAACGCUGGCGGCAGGCCUAACACAUGCAAGUCGAGCGAGGACUUCGGUCCUAGCGGCGGACGGGUGAGUAACGCGUGGGAACGUGCCCUUUGCUUCGGAAUAGCCCUGGGAAACUGGGAGUAAUACCGGAUGAGCCCUUUGGGGGAAAGAUUUAUCGGCGAAGGAUCGGCCCGCGUUGGAUUAGGUAGUUGGUGGGGUAAUGGCCUACCAAGCCGACGAUCCAUAGCUGGUUUGAGAGGAUGAUCAGCCACACUGGGACUGAGACACGGCCCAGACUCCUACGGGAGGCAGCAGUGGGGAAUAUUAGACAAUGGGGGAAAGCCUGAUCUAGCCAUGCCGCGUGAGCGAUGAAGGCCUUAGGGUUGUAAAGCUCUUUCAGCUGGGAAGAUAAUGACGGUACCAGCAGAAGAAGCCCCGGCUAACUCCGUG